GGACAGGCUAGACUGGGAGGGUAGCACUCUCCUGUCACCCAAAACGUGCUUUAGUGGGAGUCGAAGCUGAAAAAGCGUCUUGAAGAGAUAGAGAAAGUCUUCCUGUGGACGGCGACGAUCUGUCCUGCUUGAUCGAACUUUAUGAGAACCACGUCAGGGCAGGAAUGCAGCAGCGUUAAUCAUACUGAUUGAUGUUUGCAGGGUAGCGGAUCUGAGGAAACAGGAAGGUAGCUUGCUUUAUCUUUUCUUGGUCAUUUUUUGGCGUGCUUGUCC
rnacentral:SRP_RNA from 1 species